UACGUAGGGUGCAAGCGUUAAUCGGAAUUACUGGGCGUAAAGCGUGCGCAGGCGGUGAUGUAAGACAGUUGUGAAAUCCCCGGGCUUAACCUGGGAACUGCGCUUGUGACUGCAAGACUCGAGUACGGCAGAGGGGGGGUAGAAUUCCACGUGUAGCAGUGAAAUGCGUAGAUAUUAGGAAGAACACCAGUGGCGAAGGCGGCUCACUGGCCCGGUACUGACGCUGAGGCGCGAAAGCGUGGGGAGCAAACAGG
rnacentral:rRNA from 1 species